AAAAUCCGUCGACUUUAAAAAUCCUGAGGGUUCAAGUCCCUCUAUCCCCA
rnacentral:tRNA from 1 species